rnacentral:misc_RNA from 1 species
GACGUUUGAGGGAUGUUCCAAUGUUAUAAGGAUAGACAUUGGAGAUGUUAACCGAGUCAUAAUCAGGUUUAGGCCUGGUAUCCUAUUAUUAUUUACCAAAUGAAUUCAGAAUUAAUAUUGUAACAUAGACCUAAAAAAUCUAUAAAACAACUUUUAACAACGGAUCUCUUGGUUCUCGCAUCGAUGAAGAACGUAGCAAAGUGCGAUAACUAGUGUGAAUUGCAUAUUCAGUGAAUCAUCGAGUCUUUGAACGCAACUUGCGCUCAUUGGUAUUCCAAUGAGCACGCCUGUUUCAGUAUCAAAACAAACCCUCUAUCCAACUUUUGUUGUAUAGGAUUAUUGGGGGCCUCUCUAUCUGUAUAGAUCUUGAAACCCCUGAAAAUUACUAAAGGCUGUACUUGUUCAAUACCUGAACUUUUUUUUAAUAUAAA